rnacentral:rRNA from 1 species
CAGCAGCCACGGUAACACGGAGGGUGCAAGCGUUAUCCGGAUUCACUGGGUUUAAAGGGUGCGUAGGCGGGCAGGUAAGUCAGUGGUGAAAUCUUCGAGCUUAACUCGGAAACUGCCGUUGAUACUAUCUGUCUUGAACAACGUUGAGGUGAGCGGAAUAUGUCAUGUAGCGGUGAAAUGCUUAGAUAUGACAUAGAACACCGAUUGCGAAGGCAGCUCACUAAACGCUCAUUGACGCUGAGGCACGAAAGCGUGGGGAUCAAACAGGAUUAGAUACCCCUGUAGUCCCUGUCUCUUAUAC